GGAGUAAGCCGGACAACCGCUGGUGCAGUGCCGAAAGGCCGCACGAGAGGAAAGUCCGAGCUCCACAGGGCAGGGUGCCGGAUAACGUCCGGCGGGAGCAAUCCUAGGGAAAGUGCCACAGAAAUGCAGACCGCCGAUGGAGGCUUCGGCCUCACAGGCAAGGGUGCAACGGUGCGGUAAGAGCGCACCAGCAACCUGGAGACAGGUUGGCUAGGUAAACCCCACCCGGAGCAAGACCGGAUAGGAGCGCACAUGUGGUGGCCCGCCACGCGCUCGGGUAGGUCGCUCGAGCCGGCUGGCAACAGUCGGCCUAGAUAGAUGGUUGUCACUCCGUUCGUGCGAGGCAUCCGCUGCCAACCCGCAUGGCCGGUAUGAUGCCGCCUGCAGCACGGGAGUACAGAACUCGGCUUACAGGCUUGCUUCCCGG
rnacentral:RNase_P_RNA from 1 species